rnacentral:Y_RNA from 1 species
GGCUGGUCCUUGUGCAGCAGUGUUUACAACUAUUUGAUCACAACCAAUUACAGUUCUUCCCCACUCCCAUUGCUUCACUUGACUGUCCUUAA